rnacentral:rRNA from 1 species
AUGCCUCCCAAGCUCGACCCGUCCCAGAUCGUGGAGGUGUAUGUCCGCGUCACCGGCGGGGAGGUCGGCGCUGCGUCGUCCCUGGCCCCCAAGAUCGGUCCGCUCGGUCUCUCCCCAAAGAAGAUCGGAGAAGACAUCGCCAAGGAGACGGCCAAGGACUGGAAGGGCCUCCGCGUCACCGUCAAGCUCACCGUCCAGAAUCGCCAGGCCAAGGUGUCCGUCGUCCCCUCCGCCGCAGCCCUCGUCAUCAAGGCGCUCAAGGAGCCCGAGAGGGACCGCAAGAAGGUCAAGAACAUCAAGCACAGCGGCUGCACCGUUGACGGCAAGGACCCCAAGGAUCUGCAGACGGAGAUCGACGACGGCGAGGUGGAGAUCCCCGCUUAA